UGGGGAAUAUUGGACAAUGGGCGCAAGCCUGAUCCAGCCAUGCCGCGUGAGUGAUGAAGGCCCUAGGGUUGUAAAGCUCUUUCACCGGUGAAGAUAAUGACGGUAACCGGAGAAGAAGCCCCGGCUAACUUCGUGCCAGCAGCCGCGGUAAUACGAAGGGGGCUAGCGUUGUUCGGAUUUACUGGGCGUAAAGCGCACGUAGGCGGACUUUUAAGUCAGGGGUGAAAUCCCGGGGCUCAACCCCGGAACUGCCUUUGAUACUGGAAGUCUUGAGUAUGGUAGAGGUGAGUGGAAUUCCGAGUGUAGAGGUNAAAUUCGUAGAUAUUCGGAGGAACACCAGUGGCGAAGGCGGCUCACUGGACCAUUACUGACGCUGAGGUGCGAAAGCGUGGGGAGCAAACAGGAUUAGAUACCCCUGGUAGUCCACGCCGUAAACGAUGAAUGUUAGCCGUUGGGGAGUUUACUCUUCGGUGGCGCAGCUAACGCAUUAAACAUU
rnacentral:rRNA from 1 species